AGGUUUCUGCUUGCAUGUGUGCGGCACGCGUGUUUCCGUCUUUUCUUCCCCUCUUCUUCGCGUAAAGUGCGUUGUUGCACCAGGCAUUGCUAUUGAGAGCUGCAGCACACACCUCACAUACCCACCCACGUACACCGCAGCCCCCCCCCCUUCUCCCGUCGUUCAGGGGUGCACUCACACGCACGUACAGAGCAGCCACAGGCGAGGCGCACCGCAGACAGAGAGGAGGGGAAGACACGGUGGCUGGCAUACAUUGCAUAUUGGGUGAUGUCUCUUUUCUUGUUCUGCUCGUGCUCAGGGACAGCGGGUCCCUAUCGUCGUGGUGUUUCAGAGCAGUGAUUCUCAUCUGUGUGUGUGUGUUUGUAUACCUGCUCUCCCUCCUGAGUCGUCGGCGGCGCCCCUGCGGGCUUGCUUUUGUGUCGGUGCCGUCGGUGCGUAGUAUCAGUGGAAGAGGAGAGAGAGGAGGUGCGAGAGGGCGAAGUGGUGAGACGGUGCUGGCCACCCCCUCCCUCUCGGGCAUACGUUUUCCCUUUCUAUUACUAUUUCUCGUAAUUAUUGUGUUCUCUUCACCAUUGUUUGCCUCCUCGCCUCGUGCUCUCUCCUGAGUGUAUCUCUCCGCCUCUCCUUCCUCCUUUCUCACCUCUCUCUGCUGCUGCUGCUGCUGCUGCUGCUCCUCCUCCUUUCCGUGCCCGCUUCGCUACGAACGUGUUUCUCUCUCUUUACCUUUUUUUGUGUGCGCGGGCGCGUGUUCGUAAUUCGUGCUGUUAUCUGGCGCUGGUUCGCGUCGACCGUUUUGUAGGCUCGGCGGCACUCUCCGUCUGCCUCCCUCCCCCUCUCCGUCUCCCUCUGUCUAUGUGUCUCUGUGCCUUCGUCUUCCCCAUACAUCACACACAUACACACACGCACACACUCCCCUUCCACGCCUUCAGCGCUUCCGUACGUUUGCCGUUGUUGUCGGCUUCGUGGCGCUGCUCGGCAUGCCUGUGUACAUGUCAUCUGCGUCUUCCUAUCAUGGCAUCGACAAGUCUAUUCGCCAGAUAUCUACCGCGCAGGCGCUCUAGCGGACGCAGCAGUUGUGAGAAAGCGUGAGGCACCGAAGCACAGAGGAUAGCCUUCUGCCGCGGAGUAAGCACGUCGAAGUACUCCGCUAUACAGCACGGCGAAUUCUGGUAAUGCUAGAAUACGCCGGCUUCGACGCCGAUACGUGGUGGACGUACAGGAGCUUCUUCACGCAGACCAUCCUCGCCCACGGCACGUCAGAGGCGCAGUCCUACCUCUGCAUAGUGGAGCGGCUCAUAAGCGCGGUCCUGGCCUUCCCAAGGCGGCCGGUGUCACUGCUAGAGGAGCACCUCCACUGUGCCGUGGCGCAGAGCACGCAGCGCAACGAGGAGCUGCUCGUGUAUAUGGUCAAUAAGCCGUUCGGUAAGCUUCCAGCGCUGGAGUGGUUGCCGGGCCCGGAGUAUGAUGAUGACUUCGUCGCCUGCGUCGCCCGGCGUCCUGUGAGGGACGUGAUGAGCGUGCUGGAGCGACUGCCGAGGCAGCUGACCUUUGCCCGCAGUGACGCUAUUGUAGACCUAAAACUGUGCAACCCGCUCGAGAUUCCCGGCUGUGCGUACGUAUCAGCUGGCUACUCAUGCGCCACAUGUCGCCUGCGCGGCAUCCGCGUCGGCUUCCAGGCUAUGGUCUAUGACAAUGAAGAGGCGGACGCUGCGCAGUCGAAGUACAAUAUGCGCAGCGAUGCGCAAGUUAGCCACAGGAAGAGCUAUGGCUUGGACGCGUGCAUGACGUACGCCGCCUUCUUUUACACGCAGCCACAGCAGCACCUGCUUCCCCUUAUGCACGCGCCGCAUUUCACCUACGCGUUCGGUCACGCGGCUGGCGUGAAGGUCUUGUCUGCCAGCUGCCGUGCGCGCAGGCAUUCUGUUAGCCAUGAUUCCACGGGCUUUCAGCACCUUGGCGUCACUGCCGCGUCGCUGUCGUCUCACAAGGCUCCCAGCAACUCUGUUACGGCUACCGAAGGCCAUGAGAACAGUGACAAGUUGUCGGACGCAGUCGCCGGCUUCACCACCAGCAGCUUCGGCUCCGAGGAAGGGGCCGCAGUACCCAAGAGUACGGCGAUCAAGCCCCCCCCCUGGAGGACCACCAGUGCGUAAGGUGAACGACACUCGCCACGGCAGCGCCGCAGCCACCAGUAACGCGCUGUAUGGCAAGUGUCGGCAUCGUUGUUUCCUUUACGCUUAGCCUCGCGCCGUACGGCGCGUGGCUCAUCGCACGGGUGCUGAGCGACGCCGAGAAGCGUGUUGACGUGCAGCGUAUGAACGAGAUGCUGGCCCAGUGACUUGGUCCAGAGUCGGACUGGCGGUCGCGCGUGGCGGUGCGUCACAGGAUGCAGAUGCUAUUGCGUGCUGGUGCGACUCGCAGCUCGGCAGCAGAUGUACCGGCUGCAACGCCGCAUUCGGCGAUGCCAGCGAAGAGCAGUCACGCGUUCCAUCGGCUAUUCGGUGGCAACACUCUUCCCCACGGGCCAACACUGCUGCCGCAGGUGCUCGGGACGAGCAGUCGGCUGGUGGGCGUCGAUGAUGUCCUUGACACGUGCGCCAUUUGUCUGUGCCGGGUCGAAGGCGAGAACCCUAUCAUCGAGACGAGGUGCCACCACUGGUUCCAAGUGGGCUGCAUCGAGGAAGACACUCACACUGCCGGGGACGUCCGCCCUCUCUGCUGCGCCACUCAUGUCCUCCCCGAUAUGUCUCGUGCCACGGCGCUUGCGAAGAAUAUUUACCACGUGGAGGUAAUCCUGACGGACGAGGAGUGCUUGUUGCCGUGCGUCGAUGUCUGCGUCGGCGUCAUCCUCACUCGCGAUGGCAAUUACCGUAACGCUACGAGCAUCGCUGCUGCCGAGUGCGUGCGCCUCUACCCCAACCAGAUGAAGGGGUCUGAUCGGCAGGUGUUGCAGGCAUGCCCGUGAUGCGAGGGUCGUUAUGGGUGCCCGUCUUUCCCCACGGCCACGGCGUCUCCCGUCGCGGGUGCCAUUCGCUCGCAUCUCUGGGUGCGUAGGUCGACGUGACUCACUUGCAUGUCAGUGUCCCUUUUCCCCCUCUCACUCAAUCACAGUCUGUCUUUCUGUACCCUUGCUUCAUGCUCCGUGUGCCUCCUCGCGCACACACCGCACCUAAACGAGUACAGUUGACCGGUCUGCGUGCCUGUCUGUAUGUGUAUCUGGAGGAUCUCCUCCCUCUUCUGGUCCGAUUCUUUACCCACCCACCCCACCCCCGUGCUAGCAUGUCUCUCAACGUCUUCCUUUCUGUCUUUCUGUCCUCCUUAUCCUUAGCUCAGCCAUUCGUCUCUCUCGCUCUGUAUGUGCGCCUGCGAGCGUGCGUGCUAAGGUGUUGUUGCCGUUGCUUUCUUAUCGUUUUUUUUUGUUGUAUGUUUUUCUCUCUAUGCCCAUACACACGCGCGCGCGUGCGUGAUGCCGGUGCCGCUGUAAAGCCCCCCCCUUCCCUCCCCCCUCCUUCGAUCUGUGCUUGGAUUUCGUGUGUUCUCUUCACGUUUCUCGUGCGGUCUGUGCGCGUGUGCGCAGGAGAGUUCGGGAGCUCGUACCUGCGCAUCAUUCGUGUCUUCUCGUGUGUGUGUGUGUGCAGCCCGCAUCCCCCGCUGGAGAAGGGAUGAGGAGCUCACUGGCAUUCAUUCGACGUGUGCGCAGCGACGUUUUCAGCGGGCAGCAGCACUGGCGCGGAGAGGAACGCACGACGGCUGAUAGAAAGAAGCAUUGCUUAGUUAUGAUUAUAAUUUGCCAGCUCUCCCCGCCUCCAUCACGUACACGUUGUCGCGCGUGUCGUGCGGUAUGCGAGGAUAACGGAGCCACCCAUACGCCCAAAUGGUUGCGCACAUGCAGCGCACAAAACAGCGACGUUGGAGGCAGCGCCCACGACGUGCGCUCCGGAUUUGUGUUGUUGUUUUCCAAAGUAAUAAGCGAAGGCAAAGUGAGGAAGAAAGCGGCCAAGAGGCGGUGGGAAGAAGGUGACACCAUUAAACGCGCAGCUGCGCCGGGACCAUCCUCUGCUGCACCUGUGUUUCGGCGGUCAAGCGGGAGAUAGUCUUGGAUGAUGUCUGCGAGCGUAUAAAUGUGUGUGUAUAUAUAGAUGAGUAUGUAUACGUGUAUGUGUGACUCUGCAU
rnacentral:misc_RNA from 1 species